rnacentral:lncRNA from 1 species
GCCAGGCGUGGUGGCACAUGCCUUUAAUCCCAGCACUUGGGAGGCAGAGAGAGGCAAAUUUCUGAGUUCGAGACCAGCCUGGUCUACACAGUGAGUCCCAGGACAGCCAGGGGAACACAGAGAAACCGUGUCUUGAAAAAUUAAAAAAAAAAAGAAACAAUUUUUUUUUCGAGACAGGGUUUCUCUGUAUAGCCCUGGCUGUCCUGGAACUCACUCUGUAGACCAGGCUGGCCUCGAACUCAGAA